GACAGAGGGGGCAAGCGUUGCUCGGAAUUACUGGGCGUAAAGGGCGCGUAGGCGGGAUGGCAAGUCGGUCGUGAAAUCCCUCGGCUCAACCGAGGAACGUCGAUCGAUACUGCUGUUCUUGAGGAUUGCAGAGGAGACUGGAAUUCCCGGUGUAGCGGUGAAAUGUGUAGAGAUCGGGAGGAACACCGGUGGCGAAGGCGGCGAGCUGGUCCAUUACUGACGGCUGAGGCGCGACAGCGUGGGGAGCAAACAGG
rnacentral:rRNA from 1 species